ensembl:lncRNA
CCCGGCACACCUCUGCCUGGCGCACUGAGUGACCUGGGCGCGCACCAGUCACAAAGAAGAUAGGUGCCUGAGAGGGACGGGUGGGGCGGGGAGGGGGCGGGAAGAGCGGGAAUUGGUGGAGCAGGAGGGAUUGCUGAUUGGACGCACCCUCUUGGGCUUCGACCAAUCAACGUGAGACAAGACUGAGCCUCCUAGAGAGAGCUCGAGCGGGUGGGAAGGGGUUUAUGACCUGGCAGGUGCAGUUAGGGCGGGGGGCAAUGAGUGCGCGUGCGCGAUGGGGGGUUAGUGAGGUAGUCGAUCGCGUAGUCCCAAGGGCACAAGUGGCCACGGGGGCCUAGGAAUGUGUAGGAGAAACUCCAGGCAUCUUCCCGCCUCCUUGAGAGUAGGGCAGCUCCUGGCUACACCUGUGGAGACCGACAGACUGCUUCCACAGCGUCUUCAGAGAUAGAUCCUACCAGUGAAUAAAAACCAUCCAGAAAGGGAAAGCUAAUGUUCUAGGCGCUCAUUAGAAAAGGAUAUUUUAAUUUGCAGAUAUGGGAAAGAAAUUUUUUCCUAUAGGGUAAAAUACUAUUCAGUUCAGUCGCUCAGUCUCGGACACGACGGAGAGCCUUCAUUUUCACUUUUCACUUUCAUGCAUUGGAGAAGGAAAUGGCAACCCACUCCAGUGUUCUUGCCUGGAGAAUCCCAGGGACCGGGGAGCCUGGUGGGCUGCCGUCUAUGGGUCGCACAGAGUCGGACACGACUGAAGCGAUUUAGCAGCAACAGCAGCAGAAUAUUAUUACUCUCGCUUGAUUUUCAUCACUCAUUCAUAAACUCAUCAGUCCAUGCUAUGUGUAAAACUGCAGCUGGCUCAUUUAUAUUAUUGCAUCUUUAUGUUUUGACAUGGAAUGUUUAAAACUGAUCACUGCAAUUAAAAGCCCCCCAAUUUAAAUCAGUCUCAUUCUAAAACUAGAGUACAUGCAUUUGCUAUUGAGUCCCUUAACAUUAUUCCAGGACUUUCUUACACUGUGUGGAGUCGUUUUAUACUUCUGUACACUGGCAACACUAGUAAUAUGACUUAAUGAAAAGUAAAAGAUCUAGGAAUUGAAGACCUGGUCUGGGUCUUGAUUUUACUCUUCACUGGCAAUGUUGACAGCUUUCUCCUGUGGAACCUACCCUCCACCUUCCUAAAAUGAUGAGAAUGACACUAACCUCCCCUGGGUACCUCAUAAGGGCAAAAAUGACAAUGGACGUGGAAGGUUUUUAUGAAUGGAAAACUCUUUUGCAGAUAUGAGUUACUACAAUCAUAUAUGCUUAGAAGUGUAUGAGAACGUGUCUCUAAGAGCCACAUUAGUGACUACUGGAAAUAUUUAAGAAGGGGCAACUGAAGGGCAAUUGAGUUAUCUUUCUGGGAUCUAUACAAUCAGGAAUAGAUGCCCAGUUUUCUUCAUGAUACUAGAUUCAAUAGGAAAAUAUUAACAUGUGAAGGACAUGAUUGUGAAUUUAAAGAAAUAUUUCAAAUUUGAAAAGUUAGAAAAGUG